rnacentral:lncRNA from 1 species
GCAUGGAAGUUCCCAGGCUAGGGAUCCAAUCGGAGCUACGGCUGCCAGCCUACACCACAGCCACAGCACCUCGGGAUUGGAGCCACGUCUGCAAACUACCCCACAGCUCAUGGCAAUGCUGGAUCCCUAACCCACUGAGCAAGGCCAGGGAUCAAACCCUCAUCCUCAUGGAUACUAGUCAGAUUCAUUUCCGCUUCACCACGAUGGGAACUCCUUUAUUUUAGACAGAGCUUCAAGACUCGCUAUUAUCCUGCUUCUUUGCACUAUCGAAACUCAAUAUAUAAAUGAAGUUGUUUCCAGAAAUGUCGUUCCAGUGACAGUCCAGGAACUGUGGAUAAUUGUUUAUAGGCUGUGUGUAAUGGGCAGGACAGGAAGUGUUGGUAUGUAAGCAGAGGCUUCAGACAAGGAGUCCUGGAGGCAGUGCAGGAGCCUCAAAUCUCCAUGAGUUGUAACAUACCCUUGUCCUACCAGCAUCCAUUCAUUUAGAGGGUCUCAGCAGCCUGCAAUCACUAGCUCAUGCAAAGCCAGCACUGAAAGUAAGUUAAGCUCUGUUUGCAAGUUCAGAGACAAAAGGAGACCUCAGGAAUCCUAUUUAUAGGAAAGUAUUGCAUAAACAGAGUGGAGGUAUGCUUCAAUCAAGACAAAGGCUAAAUAAUGUUCUAUUGUAUAUAUAUAUGUACCAUAUCUUCUUUAUCCAUUCAUCUGCUGAUGGACAUUUAGGUUGCUUCCAUGUCUUUACUUAUUUACUUACUGUAAACAGUGCUGCAAUGAGCAUUGGAGUGCAUGUAUUUUUUCAAAUUAUAGUUUUCUAUGCAUAUACACCCGAGCGGUAUUGCUAAAUCAUAUGGUAGCUCUAUUUUUAGUUUGUUAAGGAACCUCCAUACUGUUCUCCAUAGUGGCUGUACCAAUUUACAUUCCCACCAACAGUGUAAGGUUCCUUUUUCUCUAAAACUCUCUCCAGCAUUUAUUAUCUGCAGACUUUUUGAUAAUGGCCAUUUUGACCGGUGUGAGGUAAUACUUCAUUUUGAUUUUGAUUUGUAUUUCUCUAAUAAUUAGUGAUGAGCAUCUUUUCAUGUGCCUGUUGGCUAUCUGUAUGUCUUCUUUGGUGAAAUGUCUAUUUAGAUCCUCUGCCCAUUUUUUGAUUGUGUUGUUUUUGUUUGUUUGAUAUUGAGCUAUAUGUAUAUUUUGGAGAUUAAUCCCUUGUGGGUUUCUAUUUGCAGCAACACGGAUGGACCUAGAGAUAUCAUGCUAAGUGAAGUAAUCCAGAGAAAGACAAACAUCAUAUGAUGUCAAUUGUAAGUGGGAUGAUAUAGAUAUAUAUAUAUAAACAUAAUAUAAACAAUAUAUUAUACACACACACACACACAAACUCAUUUCCAAAACAGAGGGAGACUCACAGAUACCGAACACGAAUUUAAGUUUACAAAAGGGGAAAGGGGGUAGGGGAAGGGAUAAGUUAGGAUGUUGGUAUUAAUAUAUUCACACUACUGUAAGUAAAAUAGAUAACCAAUGAGGAUCUACUAUAUAGCACAGGGACCUAUAUUCAAUAAUUUGUAAUAAUCUAUAAGGGGAAAGAGUCUAAAACAGAGUGUGUAUGUUUGUGUGUGUAUAUAUAUAUGCAUAUAUAUAUACACACACACACAUAUAUAUGUCUGAAUCAAAACUAACAUGAUAUUGUAAAUCAACACACUUCAAUUCUAUUUAUUUAUUUAUUUAUUUAUUUGCUUUUUAUGGCCACACCCACAGCAUAUGGAAGUUCCCAGGCUGGGAGUCUAACUGGAGCUGCAGCUGCCAGCCUACACCACAACCACAGCAACCUUGCGGGAUCCGAGCCACGGCUGUGACCUACACCACAGCUCGCAGCAAUGCUGGAUCCUUAACAAGUGAGCAAGGGUAGGGAUCAAACCCAUGUCCUCAUGGAUACCAGUCAGGUUCAUUACCUCUGAGUCACAAAAGAAACUCCUUGUGGAAAGAAAAAAAAAAGAAAAAAGUUAAAGUUGAAACAUUCUCUCCAUUGCUUACUGAAGAUCUUUUAUGAUGAAAUUAAUAUUUAUAAAAUCAAUGUUUCCUAGAGGAAAGUGCUCUAAAAAUAAAAACUUAAUGCAAAGAAUGAAUUUAAAAGUCUCUAUGCGCUCCAGUCCUUGACCUAUAUCUCUAUUAUAGCACUCAUCACCCACAGCUUGGAAUGAUGAUUAAUGCUUUGAUUCAACUUCACCAUUAAACUGUAAGCUGGUUGGAGACAGGACAUUUUGUUUUUCUGCACACCACACCCAGAAUAUCUCAUUGAUGGGCACACGAGUUGUGCUCAAUGUAUAUCUGCUACUCUGUUGACUGUAAGCUACAUGAAGGUAGCAUCAUGUCUUAUUCUCCACUAGAACCCAUUGCCAACGCAGGGCCAGGCACCAAGUAGGUGCUGUAUAAAUAUUUAUAUGGAUAAGUGAAUAAAUGCCAAGUUGGUUCCCAAGCAACUUCCUUCAGUCCACUCUGAACAAUUCCUCUUUGCUAAAUUCAGCAGGUUCACACAUUUAACAUGUUUUCAUGAAGCCUGGCUCCAGAGAUCCUCUCCAGUAAGGCUUCUCCAUCACGAGUGAGGAAAAAUUCUCAUUCCUGCAGUGGGGCUAAUUUUUAUCCAUUGCUUCAUUUUAUUUUAUUUUUUUCCUUUUCACAACCAUACUUGACAGCAUAUGGAGGUUCCACGCCUAGGGGCUGAAACACAACUUCAGCUGCCAGCCUAAACCACAGCCAUGACAACACCAGAUCCCAGUCGCAUCUACAACCUAUGCCACAACCUACAGUAAUGCUAAAUCCUUAACCCACUGAGUGAGGCUAGGGAUUGAACUGGCAUCCUCACAGACACAACAUUGGGCCUUUAAUCCACUGAGCCACAAUGGGAAUUCUCAUUUCUUAAUUUUAAAAUCUUGAUCCAAGCUAAUGCUUUCUUAUUUUAAGUAAAUAAAAGACAGAAAUACUUAACAUAAAAGGGAAAAUUCUUGCUUCAUCCAUAUCCCCAUCCUAUUCUUUGCAGCUACCUCUAAUAUAUACAAAGUUAGUGGCAAAAAAAUUCUAUUUUGCAUAAUUCAACCAUAACUUGCUUAUAAUACUGAGUUUUUUCCGCCUCGGUGUAGAGGGAGUAAUGGAUUCUCCAUUCAAAGCCCCACUGGAAAGGAGGCAGUAAAUGCCCUAUUGGACAGUCAAAUGUAUAUGCCCGUCAAUGCUCUGGCCAGAAUAUUUUGCAAGAUAAACUAAGAUAAAGUACAGUUAACAACACAAUGGUUGCUGUUAAGUACCCAUUUACCACAGUCUUUCACAGGACCACUAAUGGUCUAAAUUUGCAUGAGAGCAGCUGCAGGAUCUCUCCCUCCUGGAUUCUUUGUAUUUCUGGCAAUAAAACUGGCUCACUCAGAUGGGCCUUUCUCUUCAGGUGGCCUCAGCAAUCUCCUCAACUGAGGUACCAAAUAAAGGUUCCUUCCUAGCUUGCGGCAUCAUCUCCCAGAAACCAAGGCCCCUUGGUGCCCACUGGGACCCAUAAGCAUCUGUAGGGAAAAGAAAGAGCAGCAUCUCCUUUCUCUGCUGUGACUGGAGACUUUUGCUUAUAUCCCUGAGUCUCUCAACGGCCCUGGUCAUGUCCAGGCAAAAUCAUCUUAGAGUAAGCAGGAUCUUGAUGUCUUCUCUGUGCAGGACUUGCCGUUUUUGUGCUCAGGCCUCUUUCAUUCUGAAAGUGGUUCAGAUGGUUCCCUGCCUUGGUCCUCCUGCUCCUGUAAACCAGCAUCUCUCUCCUUUCUGGUGUUUAUUGGGCUAAGCAUGAAGAUUCAGAAUGAUUCCUCUAAAUCACUUUUGGUGUUUCUGCAUUGCGAUUAUGAAUUUGAAACUCAAUACCUGUUGUUGCUUGUGUGGGUGUGUUUGUGUGUGCAUGUGCAUGUGCGUGCAACUGGGGCCAUGAACUUUAUAUGUUUGCAUAAUGCUGAUCACACUGACUAUUAACUGGGUGCCUAUAAUCAAUCAAAUUCUAAAACACAUGAAUUCUCUUCUAGUCAGCAAUACUUUCUUCUUAAGAUUUCAGGCUAUGACAGGCACAGCGUCUGGAGAUGAUAAACUGUAUGUGAGUCUGUCUCUGGAAUAUCACUAUUUCAGGGUCUGCUAACAAUACUUGCCAAGUUAGAUGGGGUAGGGUGGAGAGUGGAAGCAAGUUGUACAUUAUCCUAAUAGAUUAAGAAAAUAUAAUCCCAUUUGGAUCAUUUCCUGGGCCUCCAUCCAAACCAUGAGAUAGCUUUGCUAAUCAUUAAAAUGUACAGGGAAAGGGUGGGCUUUUUUCAUAACUAUAUUGCAUUUCUAAAGGGCACUGUAUUCAUUUCUUUAUGAGUAUAAUUUAAUCAGAAAAAAAUAAUUGAUUCAAAGGAUGAUUAUUCUACAAACUUGCCAUUGUUUUAGACUGCAAUAGCAACUCUCAUUCCAUUUCAGAUUUUUAGUUUAUACAUUUACAUUAAUGAAUAAUUAUUUUUAGGAAAUAACUUUAAAUAUUUUCAGUUGCUUUUUACUAAUACAGAAAAUUUUGGUUACCCUGCAGUUAGGGUCAGGCCCAGAAAGCAAGGGCAACCAGGAGUAACUGAGGUUUGGGAAAACUAGAAAUGUAACUUAAAGUCAAAUGAACACUUUAUACAUGCCCUGGGUCAAUAGAAGAUAAACUGAUUAUCCAUUAACAUGACAUUAAUUUAUCAUGUGUGCCCAUUAAACAAUAAUAACAAUAUGAGGGUUAUCCACCAGGAUGCCCUUUGGCUUCUACAUUAUUUUCAUUUCUUAUUUAUGUGUUAACCAGUCGUGGGGUCAAUGACAAAUAGAUUUGUUGGUUCUGUUACCAAUGUGGUAUGGAGAUUGUUGCAACUGCAGCUCAUGAUCAGAAAAUCCACGCUUUUCAGGAAACACAAUUCAUAAGACAUAAAUUUUCGUAGUUCAGUUUCUAGUUAUCCCCUUCAUUUUGUACAAGGAAUAGUUAUAUUCUGAGAAUAUCCAUCUCUACCUGCUCAUUUUCUUAAACUGUUCCAAUACCUGGGCUAACAUUAAAUUAUUAUGUUUUUUAAAUGUGUUUAUGAAUUCAUUAUGCCAAAUAAAUAAAUAUAUGUUUAUUAAGAACUGCUUUAUACUGCUAUUUCAAAAAAAAAGCUUUCUCCCAUGUAACUAUAUUUUUAAAAUGAAAAUUCUGAAUUAGUUUGAUUUUUCAAGACUAGAGGGAGUUUCUAGCCAGAGAAAGGGAGCAAAUUUAUGAAAUGUAUUUGGUAUCAGGAACUGUGUCAUCUAAAUUUGUUAGUUUUUUGUCUUUUUUUAAAUUAUUAUUAUUGUUUUAGGGCCACACCUGAGGCAUAUUGAGGUUCUUAGGCUAGGGGUCAGAUCAAAGCUAUAGCUGCUGCCCUACACCACAGCUCACAGCAAUACCAGAUCCUUAACUCACUGAGUGAGGCCAGGGAUGGAACUUUCAUUUUCAUGGAUGCUAAUCAGAUUCAUUUCUACUGAGCCACAAAGGGAACUCUUUAAUUGGUUAUUUAGUCUUUAAAACAACCCAUGAACUAAAUAAUAUUAUCCUAUUUUAUAAAUAACAAAAACUGAGGCUCUGAACAUGGAGAAAUCAUGUCUAAAAUCAUACAGCUAAUGUGUGGCAGGACAUUCAGGGACAUCAGAUGCCAAAACUGUGAGAUGCUGGGCUACGACACUACAGAAUUUCAGAGAUAAUACAUUGAUUAAGGUGCUGAUCAGGGAAGUGGGCAGCCAAAGUAUCUU